UUUGGGGAGCAACCAGCUGAGGCCUGGGGAGGAGAGAUUGGAUACCUGCAGGGGAGUCCUAUAAACAGGGCUGGAGAGAGGAGAGAGCUCAGAGUGAGGAUGGCCUCUGAUUGAUUGCAGGCAGAAGGCAGUAGGGAGCCAUCGAGGACUGUUGAGCAGAGCUUGGCAGAGCUGACUGUUCUUUUAGCUGAGAAUGACAUGAAAUGGCUAGAACAGGCAGGUCUCAAGUCCAGGAGCCUAAGUGAGGGGUGGUCAGCUUGACCUUGAGUCAGAGGACCUUGGAGCAGAUGCUAAGCCAACUACUUACUAGCCUGGUGACCUUGAACAGAUUUUGAUUUUCUCCAUGCCUCAAUUACCGUAUCUUUCACAUGUGGAUGCUAACACUCCUUCAUUUGUUCAACCACAAAAGGGGUGAACUCUAAUUCACCUCCUGAGUGCUGGAUCCUACAGUGGAGAAAAGAGACAAGCUGUUUGCACUCAAGGGCCUAACCGUCUCAGGGGCGGAGACACAAACAAAAACGAAAUAAACAAAUAUAAUUUCAGGUGAGGUGAAGAACACAGCAGGUUGUUCUGCUUGGGUGGCCUGGGUGACUGGGUUGUCCGGGAGGUCCUCACUGAAGAAGUAUUGAGUGGAGACUUUGCACAUUACCCAGGGUGUUUCAGGCCAAGGAAAACAGUUAGUGCAAAGGCCCCAAGGCACCGGAGAGCUGGGAGUUUCCAGUAGGGGAACAGAAUAAUGAACCAGGUGAGAAGGGAUAUAAGAUGAGGAAGGGUUGUCGGGGAAUUCAGGGAUGUGGUAAGCCCUCGGUAAACGACAUUAUUAUUACAGGAACAUCCUGGUCCUGAGGUUAACAAGGAUCUGAGCUGUUAUUGUGGUCACGGGACUAUGAGAAGAUGGACCAUGAGCAGCAUUAGCAAAAGUGACCGGGCGUGGGAUAAACUCAGUUUAUAAGGGGGUGACGAGGGGGCAGCUGACACACUGCAGCUCGGGAACAAGGUUCAGAGCAGGAAUGUGAGCAUCUUCCAGGGAGAGGGGACUGGACAGGCCUCAUCCCGACUCUGGUCCCACUUUGUGCUAGACUAACAAGGGGAGCCGAGAGGGAGGAGAAGGGUGAUCUUCUGCACCUGGGGCGUCUGAACGAGGUCUCCUCAUCCCUGUCCCCCACAUGGCCUUGGAGGUGGGCUCUGCCCACAGAAGGGUCCUGCAGAUCCUGGUUCUCAGGGCAAUCUCCUCUUUCAGUGUCCUUGGGGACAGCAGGCCCCUUUCUCUCCCAGCCCCUGCAGGCCAUGUCAGGGGCAGGGGUCUUGCCCUCUGCUUCUGGGCUAGGCUGCGUAGCAGGUGUGGUGAAGGGUGUGGGGUCAUAGGUUCCGAACCGAAGUGCGAGCGACACCGGAGCCCUGUCUGUAAUGGCGAAGGUAUCUGGAAAGUUCUAUCCUGUGGCUUGCUGCCCGUCAGCUGGUGAGGACUCUCAGUCACAAUCACAGUCCAAACCAAUAUCCACUUACCUCUCUGUGGAAGCUGCCCCCUUCUGUCCCUGCAAUUUUAACUGCCUCUGAGAUGACUCUGGAGGGUCAUUGCUGACUGGCUGGGCCAUCUCCCCCAGGGUCAUGCCUCGUUCCAUGGGUAGCCUUGCCAGAUGGCACCUCGAGCCCCCAACUCUGAAUCCAAUUCACUCUCUGUCCCUGGCUUCUGAUGUGGCAAAGUCUUGC
rnacentral:lncRNA from 1 species